CUACGGGACGCUCCAGUGAGGAAUAUUGGACAAUGGUCGAAAGACUGAUCCAGCCAUGCCGCGUGCAGGAUGAAUGCCCUAUGGGUUGUAAACUGCUUUUAUACGGGAAGAACACCACCCACGUGUGGGUGACUGACGGUACCGUAAGAAUAAGGACCGGCUAACUCCGUGCCAGCAGCCGCGGUAAUACGGAGGGGCCAAGCGUUAUCCGGAAUCAUUGGGUUUAAAGGGUCCGUAGGCGGGCUAUUAAGUCAGAGGUGAAAGUUUGCAGCUCAACUGUAAAAUUGCCUUUGAUACUGGUAGUCUUGAGUUAUAGUGAAGUGGUUAGAAUAUGUGGUGUAGCGGUGAAAUGCAUAGAUAUCACAUAGAAUACCAAUUGCGAAGGCAGAUCACUAACUAUAUACUGACGCUGAUGGACGAAAGCGUGGGGAGCGAACGGGAUUAGAUACCCUCGUAGUC
rnacentral:rRNA from 1 species